rnacentral:rRNA from 1 species
CCGAGUGGUGUGGAUGAUUAUUGGGCUUAAAGCGUCCGUAGCCGGCUCAUCAAGUCCCUCGUUAAAUCCAACGAUUUAAUCGUUGGAUUGCGGGGGAUACUGUUGGGCUAGGGGACGAGAGAGGCCGACGGUAUUUUCGGAGUAGGGGUGAAAUCCUAUAAUUCCGGGAGGACCACCAGUGGCGAAGGCUGUCGGCUAGAACGCG